AACUCGAACACAUGGCUUAGAAACAACACAGCGCGUGACAUUCAUUGAUUCUGCUUUCUUCAUCAUCUGCAACCAAUCUUACCUCAGUUUUCCCUUUAUUAUUUAAUACACACCAUUUAUUCGUUUUCAGUUUUUAACUCUUCCAAAACAUUGAAAAACACCCUUUUUCUGGGUUUUCCCUUUUCAAUACUUUUAUCUCUAUUUUACAUCAAAACUCCAUCUGUUUUUCCCCAUUAGUUCUUGUUCAUGGCGCGUUUGUUUGCUUUAAAUCCUCUCUAUUAAAUUUUUUUUCCAGUUGUUCGUUUCCCUGGGCGUUCUAACUUUCGACUAUUAGUAUUUGGAUCGAAAUCCGAUAUUUCUGGCAGGAUGGAUAUGGAUCAUGGUACUAAUAACCCUGAGCAUACGAGAACUGGAGCAUUUAGCCGGACAGGCAGCCUUGGCUCUUCAUUAAGGAAGCGUUCCUUUAGUAUAUCAAGUUCCGUGUCCUAUCGUAUCGAUGAUGACAUUGGAAGUGAGGCUGUUUCGGAGGCAGGGGAUAUUGGUGAUCGGGCUCUUCAAAGCAACAGGCACAGUGUGAGUAGUAGUUGCCGCUUAUCUCUGGAUCUUGCAAUGGAAGGCGGGUCAGUUAUUCAUCCAGAAGAUUUGCAUAAAGUCUCUGUUGCGUCACCCGUGCUAGAGGAUGUCACAUCUCCCCUUCCACUUGAUCUAUUAAAGGGCCCUGGGGAUGAAAAACAAGAAAAACAAAGACUACCUAUGUCGUUGGAGUAUAUCUCAUGUCUUAUCCAUUUGGCUGUUUUCGGAAUUCUCGGGGUUUUCACAAGAUAUUUGCUUGAAAAACUUUUUGGACCGAGUCUUUUAGGUGUGACCAGCAAUGAGACCAUUGUAUACCCCAACCUUCCUUCUAAUAUGGUUGGCUCUUUCUUGAUGGGGUGGUGGGGUGUUGUUUUCAAAGGUGACAUAUCUCAAGUAUCCGAUAUUUUGGCAAUUGGAUUGACUACCGGAUACUUGGGUAGCGUCACAACAUUCAGUGGUUGGAAUCAGAAAAUGCUUGAUCUCAGUGUAGAUGGCCACUGGGUGCAAGCUAUACUUGGGUUUCUCAUAGGCUUGUUUCUUGUAGCUUAUUCUAUCAUUUUUGGGAUAGAGACAGCAAAGGGUUUCCGGUGGAUUCUCAAAAAGCUGAAUACAAGACCGGAAAAGGGAGUCCCGAGCUGUAACUGUAAUUGGACACUCAACAGCUCCAGCCGUCAUUUGGUAGCAAUGGUGAUAUUAUUGUUAGUUCUUGGUGUUUUAUUGAGCGUGAGUGGAUUGCUGCUCAAGGAAGAAUUUAGCAGUGGUAGCAGUGGAGCUCAGCUGUGGCUGGCUUGCUUAGUUGGACCUUUCGGAGUAUGGAUCAGGUGGUUCUUGGCUCGACUUAAUGGACGUGGGUUAGGAAAAUCUGGGAUUUUGAGAUGGCUUCCAUUCGGGACAUUGAUCACCAACGUUUCUGCUGCUUGUAUAAUGGCUGGACUCUCCACGAUUGAAAAGUCGGUAAAUAUCAAGAACUUCGACACUGUUGCAAACGGGAUACAGCUAGGAUUUCUGGGUUGUUUGAGUACAGUUUCAACUUUCAUUGCCGAGUUCAAUGCAAUGAGAGAAAGCAAGCACCCUUGGAGAGCUUACCUUUAUGCUUCAACUACAAUGGGGAUUUCAUUUGUUUUAGGGAUUCUAAUAUACAAUGUACCUGUUUGGACAAAAGGAUUUCCUUAGAAUCUGGGGGCUGCCGCAGGUAUGGGUUAUGUUUUGAACCCGGGGAUGUCUAAAGUUGACGAGAACACAUUGGUUUGUUCAUAGAAAUGAACACCUGCUGUGACAAGACCUUGCUGUCCGUUAGUAUUCUCCACCUAAUACAUUUACACGAUUUGUACCAGAGAGCAAGAGAAACUAAUGAACCAUACUUCUUGAGAGAAUCAAAUCGACCCGGAUUUACAAGAGACCUCUCUCUAUCAACACACCAUGUAGCAACAUAUAUUGGUGCAAGAUCAUUAAGAUCUGAUUGUUUAGGGUUUUCGUUGGAGUUUCCCGUGACUUGGCAACUCGAUCUUGGUCCGGGCGCAACCCCCGUAUCACUUAGUCACUUAGAGGAGCAAGAAACAAAGUGUUGUGGCUCGAUCAAGUGCAGAGGCUGAGUAUAGGGUCAUGGCUCAAGGAGUUUGUGAGCUUUUAUGGCUACAAAAAGUAUUGGAAGAGCUGAAGUUGUUGAAUGAAAAUGGAUCAACCUUGUACUGUGACAACAAGGCGGCCAUCAACAUAGCUCAAAAUCCAGUACAGCACGAUAGAACCAAACACAUCGAAAUAUAUCGUCAUUUUAUCAAGGAAAUAGUAGUUAGUGGUGCCUUAAGUUUAUCUUACCUAGCAUCCGAAAAACAGUUGGCUAAUGUUUUUACUAAAUGACUCAACUGUAAGACUUAUCAUAAUCUUCUUUACAAGUUAUGCAUGCAAGACAUCUAUGCACCAACUUGAGGGGGAGUAUUGAGAAUCUUUGAUUAUUUGAUAUUAUUAAAUAAUAUUUUUAGAGACUACAGCUGAUAUUUUUAGAGAUUCUAAUUAAGAGAUAUUAUUUCCUUAGUUGUUAAA